GUCACCUGAUUCUAAUGGCUCUUCUAUGGGUUGGUUUUCAUCUUUAACAAUGUUUGAUACUUCAGGUGUUAAGGUGUCUGGACCUACAGAUGCAUCCUUCAUGAAAGAAAAGUAAGGGUUCUGAAUGGAUUGACUAUUUUGCAGCAUUUCCUUCGCUUUACGGAGCACAUCCCCGGGGGUUUCAUCAGGUUCCUUUUGGUCACUUAUUUGUGAUUCUUGGAUAAUUUUUGUUGUAUUUCAAGAAGCACUGCGGAACUUAGAGAUGUAAGAAUAGGACCAAGCUGUUUCUAAAUUUAGAGCACUCAAUCGGUGCUCAUUUUGUCUCUCCCCAAAAGAAGUGAACUGCAGUUUUACACCUUUUAAAGGAUUUAUUUGAUCUCUCUUAGAGGUGGAAGAUUUCACUUCAGGUACAUUGAAAACUGGUGAUUUUACGGAAGGCAUUCUAGGGCUCUUAGGCUCACAUCCUCAGCCUUAUCUUCCUCCAGUUUAUCACAAAUAUCAGGCAUAACUUGAUCUUCCAUCGUAUUUAUCCUGUCCACGUUUUCUAUUUGGUCUUUUUUUGAUUAAUUGUUGCUUAAUUCUGUAAUUUCAGAAAGUAAAUCUGUUUCUAAAGUUUGUUGCAUUUCCACGCCCUUGUGUCAUGGGUAUGGAGUCCAUCUGUAUGGUUUAUCUUUCGAACAGUUAUUGGCUUUGCCUGGGCAAACUAAUGGUUUCACUGUGGAAGUAAUGCUGGGUUUUUCCAAUAACUCUGACUCAAAAAUAUUUUCUUGUGGAAGUGUAUCACGGGAAAGUUCUUUGUGCUUUCUUGAGUUUGUAUCUGAAUUUAAUAAUGUUUUCCGAUUGCUGCUGUUUUCAGUUUUUUCCAGGUGAAUCUCCCUUUACUGAACUUAUUACAAUUUGUCUUAUUCCACCCUGGAUCUUUUUCUUGUGUUGAAUCACAAUGCCUUAGAUUUCGGUUUCUUGCUUGUGGAAAUGUAUCGACAUUGCCACCAAAAUUCCAAGGUUUACCUUUGUAUGGAUUAGGCUGCCAGUUUCCUACACAGUUUCUAGGGGGCAGGACAGGAAAACUACUAUUUCUGUCAUGGUGCCAAUGAAAGUUCCUACCUAGUGCCAACUAGUAGGACCUCCUGGAUUUGAGUGCCGUGAGCCUCCACCAUGGGUCUGAUGACGGUUUGAUGGACUGUUUAAAUGCCAGUCAGGUCGGCCUCUAGAAUCAGGAAGAUGCCUAUGGUUUACGUUUAGUGCAGGAUGCUGGUAAUUACCCUGCCUAGAAUUGUCCUUCACUUUGCCACUGCCAGCCCCACAGUGCCAAUCUUGGGGCCCCCCUUCCUUAAACAAAAGAUGGUCCUCUCUUCUCCUCUGGUAUCGGUCUUUUUCUUGUUCUUUGGAUGUACAGCAGUUAUCAUCGGGUCGGUUUUGUUCUCUCCUUUGGUUAAUUAACUGGACAAGUUCCUUGUCAAAGUAUUCUUCCUCGUCAUCAUCUUUUUCUUCUUCUUUCUUCUGGGCAUCAACAUUAUCUUUGUGCAGCUGGCUUGAGAUGUGUUUAGCGUUUGUUGAGAGGCCCACCACCGUCACUCUUCAUACCCGGCACUCGUGGCUGCAGUCUCUUCCCCUCAUGGAAAGCGUCCUCUUUUUGGAGACCCCGAGGCUGCACAGUCAGGAGAAGUCCCAGCACCGUCCAAUGUCUGCUCUGCUAUUUCUGUGUGGCAGAAAAUAUGUGUCCGGCAAACCAAGCGCAGCGGGUUUCCAGGUACAGUCUAUCUCCAUUUCUGAGUGGAUUCUCUUGGGCUGCAGCCGUGAUGUGCUGGACUUGCCUCUGUCCCUGCUGUCAGCCAUAUCGGGAGACUUGAUGUUCCCUCGUGGGUUCGCCGCUUGCUGGAUCUUCUUGGGAUGGUCCAGGUGGGAAGUGUUUGCAGGGACCAUUCUCACACAUGUGUGUUUCGUUAAGCUGCAUGUUUAGUGUCCCCGGGCGGGAGUGUUUGUUGCGCG
rnacentral:lncRNA from 1 species